GGGGGCGACUUGGUUUCGACGCGGGUAGCAAAACCUUAGGUGCAUGUCGAGGGGCAGACCACCUCGUAAAUCCAACUGCAAACUCUAUAGUUGCCAACGACGACAACUACGCACUCGCCGCUUAAUACCCGGUAGGGUGCCGUCCGGACUGGGGCCGUGCUUGUGCGCCCAGGUUUCCGGGCGUCAUAUCUCACA
rnacentral:tmRNA from 1 species